rnacentral:rRNA from 1 species
AGCGAACGCUGGCGGCAGGCCUAACACAUGCAAGUCGAACGAACCUUUCGGGGUUAGUGGCGGACGGGUGAGUAACACGUGGGAACGUGCCUUUAGGUUCGGAAUAACUCAGGGAAACUUGUGAUAAUACCGAAUGUGCCCUUCGGGGGAAAGAUUUAUCGCCUUUAGAGCGGCCCGCGUCUGAUUAGCUAGUUGGUUGAGGUAAUGGCUCACCAAGGCGACGAUCAGUAGCUGGUCUGAGAGGAUGAUCAGCCACAUUGGGACUGAGACACGGCCCAAACUCCUACGGGAGGCAGCAGUGGGGAAUCUUGCGCAAUGGGCGAAAGCCUGACGCAGCCAUGCCGCGUGAAUGAUGAAGGUCUUAGGAUUGUAAAAUUCUUUCACCGGGGACGAUAAUGACGGUACCCGGAGAAGAAGCCCCGGCUAACUUCGUG